ACUAACAGGAUUCCCCUAGUAACUGCGAGUGAAGUGGGAAAAGCUCAAAUUUAAAAUCUGGCGGUCUCUGGCCGUCCGAGUUGUAAUCUAGAGAAGUAAUGCCCGCGCUGGACCGUGUAUAAGUCUCCUGGGAUGGGGCGUCAUAGAGGGUGAGAAUCCCGUCUUUGACAUGGACUACCAGUGCAUUGUGGUAUGCUCUCAAAGAGUCGAGUUGUUUGGGAAUGCAGCUCAAAAUGGGUGGUAAAUUCCAUCUAAAGCUAAAUAUUGGCGAGAGACCGAUAGCGAACAAGUACCGUGAGGGAAAGAUGAAAAGAACUUUGGAAAGAGAGUUAAACAGUACGUGAAAUUGCUGAAAGGGAAACGCUUGAAGUCAGUCGCGUUGGCCAGGGAUCAGCCUUGCUUUUGCAUGGUGUACUUUCUGGUUGACGGGUCAGCAUCAAUUUUGACUGCUGGAAAAGGGCCUGGGGAAUGUGGCAGCUUCGGCUGUGUUAUAGCCCCUAGUCACAUACAGCGGUUGGGAUUGAGGAACUCAGCACGCCGCAAGGCCGGGUUUCGACCACGUUCGUGCUUAGGAUGUUGGCAUAAUGGCUUUAAGCGACCCGUCUUGAAACACGGACCAAGGAGUCUAACAUGCCUGCGAGUAUUUGGGUGGAAAACCCGAGUGCACAAUGAAAGUGAAAGUUGAGAUCCCUGUCGUGGGGAGCAUCGACGCCCGGACCAGAACUUUUGGGACGGAUCCGCGGUGGAGCAUGUAUGUUGGGACCCGAAAGAUGGUGAACUAUGCCUGAAUAGGGUGAAGCCAGAGGAAACUCUGGUGGAGGCUCGUAGCGAUUCUGACGUGCAAAUCGAUCGUCAAAUUUGGGUAUAGGGGCGAAAGACUAAUCG
rnacentral:rRNA from 1 species